GUCGGGUCAGCCACCAAGAUCGGCGUAGCCUC
rnacentral:scRNA from 1 species